CGCGGGAUGGAGCAGUCUGGUAGCUCGUUGGGCUCAUAACCCAAAGGUCGGAGGUUCAAAUCCUCCUCCCGCAACCA
rnacentral:tRNA from 5 species